rnacentral:rRNA from 1 species
CCUACGGGAGGCAGCAGUGGGGAAUAUUGGGCAAUGGGCGAAAGCCUGACCCAGCAACGCCGCGUGAAGGAAGAAGGCUUUCGGGUUGUAAACUUCUUUUGACAGGGAAGAGCAGAAGACGGUACCUGUCGAAUAAGCCACGGCUAACUACGUGACAGCAGCCGCGGUAAGACGUAGGUGGCAAGCGUUGUCCGGAUUUACUGGGUGUAAGGGGCGUGUAGCCGGGCUGACAAGUCAGAUGUGAAAUCCGGGGGCUAAACCCCCGAACUGCAUUUGAAACGGUUGGUCUUGAGUAUCGGAGAGGCAGGCGGAAUUCCGAGUGUAGCGGUGAAAUGCGUAGAUAUUAGGAGGAACACCAGUGGCGAAGGCAGCCUGCGGGACGACAACUGACGGUGAGGCGCGAAAGCGUGGGGAGCAAACAGGAUUAGAUACCCUGUAGUC